rnacentral:rRNA from 1 species
AGUGAACGCUGGCGGUAGGCCUAACACAUGCAAGUCGAACGGCAGCACAGUAAGAGCUUGCUCUUACGGGUGGCGAGUGGCGGACGGGUGAGGAAUACAUCGGAAUCUACUUUUUCGUGGGGGAUAACGUAGGGAAACUUACGCUAAUACCGCAUACGACCUACGGGUGAAAGCAGGGGAUCUUCGGACCUUGCGCGAUUGAAUGAGCCGGUGUCGGAUUAGCUAGUUGGCGGGGUAAAGGCCCACAAAGGCGACGAUCCGUAGCUGGUCUGAGAGGAUGAUCAGCCACACUGGAACUGAGACACGGUCCAGACUCCUACGGGAGGCAGCAGUGGGGAAUAUUGGACAAUGGGCGCAAGCCUGAUCCAGCCAUACCGCGUGGGUGAAGAAGGCCUUCGGGUUGUAAAGCCCUUUUGUUGGGAAAGAAAAGCAGCAGGUUAAUACCCCGCUGUUCUGACGGUACCCAAAGAAUAAGCACCGGCUAACUUCGUG